rnacentral:lncRNA from 1 species
GUUUUCCCAACUUUCAUAUGUGUAUAAAGGACACAAUAAUUGAGAACAUAACUAGUGCCAACAACAAACACAUAUUUUAAUAAAAUAAACUCACCAAGAUAAUAAGUUCUCAUGAUUGUAUCUUGAAUGGUUAAAGUCUGAUCUGUUGGAUGUAAAUACCUAUCCUAAAUUGUAGAAGUAUUCCAGGAAAAAAAAACAUUUUUAAAAAAAUCAAAUGUGCCAUAUUAAUGUUUCUUCUGCAAUUUUUUUUGUUAAUUGAAUUUGUUAAAAAAACAAGUUUUCCCAACUUUCAUAUGUGUAUAAAGGACGCAAUAAUUGAGAAUAUAAUUAGUGCCAACAAGAAACACAUAUUUUAAUAAAAUAAACUCACCAAGAUAAUAAGUUCUCAUGAUUGUAUCUUGAAUGGUUCAAGUCUGAUCUGUUGGAUGUAUAUAACUAUCCUAAACUGUAGAAGUAUUCCAGGAA